GCGAGUGGCGAACGGGUGAGUAAUAUAUCGGAACGUACCCUGGAGUGGGGGAUAACGUAGCGAAAGUUACGCUAAUACCGCAUACGAUCUAAGGAUGAAAGUGGGGGAUGCGCAAGCACCUCAUGCUCCUGGAGCGGCCGAUAUCUGAUUAGCUAGUUGGUGGGGUAAAGGCCUACCAAGGCAUCGAUCAGUAGCUGGUCUGAGAGGACGACCAGCCACACUGGAACUGAGACACGGUCCAGACUCCUACGGGAGGCAGCAGUGGGGAAUUUUGGACAAUGGGCGAAAGCCUGAUCCAGCAAUGCCGCGUGAGUGAAGAAGGCCUUCGGGUUGUAAAGCUCUUUUGUCAGGGAAGAAACGGUGUGGGCUAAUAUCCUGCACUAAUGACGGUACCUGAAGAAUAAGCACCGGCUAACUACGUGCCAGCAGCCGCGGUAAUACGUAGGGUGCAAGCGUUAAUCGGAAUUACUGGGCG
rnacentral:rRNA from 1 species